GCCUUCCUCUGUAAAAGGAAUGCCAGCCAUGAUCAUUAAUAUUAAACCAAAUAUUUGGAGUCAGAUAAAGGUGUAGCUUCUUAGGCCCUAUCAAAUCAGGGAUAGACUGAAAGAAAUGUUACAUUACUUCUCUUUUCUAGUUGCCAGUGGUUUGAGGGGUGGUGUGUAUGUAUGUACAACAUAUAUAUUCAGGGUGGCUUUUGAGAUGGUUACACUAUAGCUAUAGAUGAUGCAUUAGUGUCUUAAUCACAAGAAAAGAGGAGCAAUAAAAUGUAGAAUGACUUUUGUACAUAUGGAUAGAGCAGUGGGCCAGUUUAGAAGAUUUACGGGCCGGAUUAUUUUUUAAAAUUCUUUGGAAGAGUGAGAAGACUACACUUUCCUGAUCGUAAAUUGUUCUCCAGAAAUGGGAGUAACAUGGAUACACUCAAGUUUUGGCUCAAUAUAUAUCAAUGUCAUUUAAUUUAGAUUAUCAAAAGAAUACAUAAAAAGAAUAUUUUCAUGCUUUUAACAUGUUUAAUUAAAAAAAAAAAAAGAAAUACUAGUACUAGAAGAGGCUUUGUGGUUAUCCAGGUACCAUCUUCAUGGUCCACCCCUUAUUCUUUAGACAAGCACAAAGAGAAGCAAUGAAGCAGCCUUACCUGUUUCUCUUAAAGAAUCACUAAUGCUUUUAUUUGGAGAAAGGCAAGAGAAUACUCUUAGGCAUUUAGUAAAAAUAUCCAACUAAACCAAAAGACCUCAAAGUGUGAUUGGUUUCAAGAGCCCUAGUAUUUUGUGGUAUCUGAGACAUCUGAGCACUCAAGACAAAUUGAACAUUAAAAAAAUUUUUUGAUUCCUUUCCUAUUAAAACCAACAUUCCAUAUAGAUUUCAUUUUUUAUUUUCCCUAAUUUGGUGCUUUCCAAGUCAUCUUUAAAGUGCCCUUCCUCCAAACUUAAAAAAAAAAAAAAAAUUCUUUGAUAAAAACUGCUAUUCAUUACAAAACAUUCCAAUUUUUUAAGCUUAAAUUUAGCUUUUAUUGAAAGUCUACCAUUCGGUAUGUUAAGUAUGAAAUGUAGUGCAGACUUAUCUCCAGGUUUUAAGUGGGACUCAAUAAUGAAAAAUGCCACCAGCCACUUUUGUAAUAAUGGCAUCGACAAUGCCAUCAUGUAUGCAAGCAAUAAAAAUUCUUCAGGGUAUGUUUUUAUACUGAAAUUUUAAUAUGAAUGCCCCUAGCCACAAGGAUAUAGAGAAUUAACUUUUAGAAGUGAUACUAUAACUCAAAUUGCUGAGUACAGGGAAGAGAAGAGGGGCGUUAUUCCUUGGAUUCAAAUAACUGUCAAAAGCAUUUUUCCUUUUGCAAAGGGUAUGGAUGAUGAGAGAAUAAGCACAUCUGCACUACUUUAUCAAGCUGCAUUUCAUUUUCCAUGAAGCUUAGUACAACAAACAGGUUGGUGUACUUACCUUCACUGGGUGACCUAUCCCAAUAAAAAAAUUAAAAAAAAACAAAA
rnacentral:lncRNA from 1 species